rnacentral:rRNA from 1 species
GACGAACGCUGGCGGCGUGCCUAAUACAUGCAAGUCGAGCGGACUGAAUGGGAGCUUGCUCUUGUUCGGUCAGCGGCGGACGGGUGAGUAACACGUGGGCAACCUGCCCGCAAGACCGGGAUAACUCCGGGAAACCGGAGCUAAUACCGGAUAACACCGAAGACCGCAUGGUCUUUGGUUGGAAGGCGGCGCAAGCUGCCACUUGCGGAUGGGCCCGCGGCGCAUUAGCUAGUUGGUGAGGUAACGGCUCACCAAGGCGACGAUGCGUAGCCGGCCUGAGAGGGUGACCGGCCACACUGGGACUGAGACACGGCCCAGACUCCUACGGGAGGCAGCAGUAGGGAAUCGUCCGCAAUGGGCGAAAGCCUGACGGAGCGACGCCGCGUGAGCGAAGAAGGCCUUCGGGUCGUAAAGCUCUGUUGUGAGGGACGAAGGAGCGCCGUUUGAAGAAGGCGGCGCGGUGACGGUACCUCACGAGGAAGCCCCGGCUAACUACGUG